rnacentral:lncRNA from 1 species
GAGUGAUCACAGUUUUUGAAAAUCCUGAUGAGGCAUUAAAGAGGAGGAGGAGUGUCCCAAGGGAGGUGAGCUGGAGGCAAAGCAAGUGACUACACCUCUGGAAAAGAGGAAGAACUGAUAAGACUGUCCUAGAAAUCAAGGGCUAAGAAAAGCAACUGUGUUGGGUGGUCAGCCCCAUCUGAGAGGCAGUGAUAACAAAUCUCCCCUCCAUGGAAGAUGUGUGAUGCUUAACCUUCUCUAAAGGACUGCAUUUGGAAACAUGUUCAUACAGUCUUUCUGGAGCUCAGUGAUACCAGUUCACCCAAGAAGACUCAGAAGUUAAACACAGAGGCAUGGCAGGUGAUUGUUAGGGAAUAUCCAGCCCUUCUCAACAGUGAGCUGACUCAGUGACUCCACCUCUGGAAAAGAGGAAGAACUGCUAAGAACUAUAAGAGACAGACAUCACACUACCUCAAAAAGGAUGACAUUACUGCUUUACUGUAGAGGAACCACACAACUUACAUAGAAGGUCCGCCCAGGCAGCUUCCAUAUUCUGUAGACUGAGAUGGAAAAGAGCCCACACACAUACCAUGGAGUCUGUCAGUAUCACUGGGCACCCAAUGGGAAAUAGUUCUGCCCUCCUUGCUCUUUUAUAGAAUAGAGAACUACGACUCAGGAAGAACUCUGGGAAGGUAUUGGACCAACUCUUUUGCCCACAAACAUGAUCCGAAAGCCAGAAUUUAAUAAGCUCCAGAGGAAGGAGAUUCUUGGGUUGCGUGGCACAGUAUCUUUGGAGGCAGGCUGCCUGGGCUUGUGUCCAAGGUCAGUCACUCACCAGCAGUAUGGCCUUGCAUAAUACUUCAACCCCGCCUUGCUUCUGUGUUUUCAUCUAUAAAGUAAGGGCAAUAAUAACAAUGGUUGUUGCAAAGAUUAAACAAACUAAAACGUGUAAACUACUUUGAACAGCAACAUGCACAUAGGAAAAGAGCCCAUGACUGUAGGUCAUCAAUUGUUAUUGUUACUAGUGCUUCUUUACCUCUGUUGAUUUUCGUUUCAAGAAGAUUUUCAUUUUUAAAUUCUUUUUGCUGAAAUUUCAGGAUGUUUUCUCUUUUUAUCAGCUCAUAGGAAAUGGGGAUGAUGGAUCAUAGCAUCAUAGAGGGUGAGAAAGGGAAGGGACCCCAGGCUGUAUCAGUGCUGGCUUCCACGCCUUGUGAUUGAGCACGGGGCGGGGGCGGGGGGGGGAAUGAUGGGCUCAGGUUCUCAAAUGGCAAAAGUAGGUUUUGAAUGCAUGUUCCAGUUUAGUGGGUUUCCUUUCCAUUGUAUAAUAACUCUUCACAGGCUGCAAUUCAACACUGUUUAAUUUCUCCAAGACAUACUCAGGUUUUCAAGAACAAGCCUGGCCAGUGACCCUGUGGGAAGAGCUGACCAGUGUUGAGAAUAAUAACAUUGUCAUUAUAAUCUUACAGCACCUCAUUAGUUUUCUUUUUCUUAACAGCACUUUCAUAUUGUUGACUUGCAUUUAUUUCGAAAAAGAAAGGAAGGGAAAUUUUAUCUCUGAACAGAAGGCAGGCUCUGGCUAUUAAUGUGUCCACUCCUCGGCAAACAGGAUCAGAGAAACUGCUUCAGGGACAAGGGGCAGGGAGGAAAGAGCAGGGUCCCUAAUGAGUGGGGUUUACUUAGGUCGAGAUGAGACAGUGGGAGACUAGGCUUUCUUCUUUAUACUGAAUACCUGCUAUGCGCUUGGUAUGGAGCGAGCCUCCUACAGGAAUACAAAAGGACCCAGGACAAGAUUUGAGUUUUCAAGGAAUUUCUUUAGAAAAAGAUAGAAAGCAACGGUGGAACUGUAGUGGAUCCUUUGGAGUCCUUCGAGGGCUCUGUGCUCCCACAGCAUCCUACGACACGAGACUUCAUAUUCUUCCAGUGGCAAGUGUGUGCUAUAAGGGGCUCAGCUUGGCUAGGAGAUUUUCCAGCUGACCAGAGGGGAGAGUAGCAUAGCAGGCAUGUGGACUGAAAAUACAUGGGUAAUAGGGCAACCAGGUGUCGGGGUGUGGUGGGAGGUGCUCAUGACCCGGGGUUGGGAGCUCUAUUCUCUUUGGGCUUUGCCCUCAGUUGGAUGUGGGCUGGAGAGAAAGUCAAUUUCGCCAUUCCUCAGUUUCUCCAUCUUCAAUGGAAGAGGAUGAACCCGGCAGUGAUUGAAGUUUCUCACUGUUCCAACAGUCUGUGUGUUGAGGUGGCAGGUAGAGGUAGGGUUGUGAGGCUGAGAAAGAAAUCCUUCACGUGAAAAAUAACAACAGUGAUGGUUUGGAUGCUGAGAAAUGGACAAGCUGUCAACUCAGAGGUUUUUUGUUUUUUUGUUUUUGUUUUUUUUUUUUUAAUGGCUGCACCUGCAGCAUAUGGAAGGUCCCGGGCCAGGGAUCAAACCCCAAACCCCAGCAAUGCCAGAUCCUUUAACCUGCUGUGCUGGGCCAGGGGUCAAGCCCCAGCCUCGGCAGCAGCCCAGGCCUCUGCAGUUGGAUUCUUAACCCACUGCCCACACUGGGAACUCCUGGAGAUUUUUUAAGUUGAUUCUUAUUACAGAGGAGUGUUAUUGCCACCUCUCUGAUUUCAACUUGCAGUGCCAGUAAUAUUGGAUCCUUUGUGGUUCUUUGUGUCCUUAUUUAUACACAUGAUGCAUGAAACCAUUCUUCUCCUCUUAAGGCAGUUGAGGUAGUUAAUCUCCCAUCAAUCACUCAUGAUUAUAACAUGUGCUCUGCAGAUACUGUUGAAGUCUUUAUGCAUGAGGAGGACUUUGAUGUGAUAGAACUUCUGACAACUCAGACUCAGGCUGGUUUUUUUUUUUGUUUGUUUGUUUUUUUUGGUCUUGCCCCUGUGGAUGGAUGCUGACUUUCCUUCUCAAGAAAUAUUGCUGGAGUUCCAGUGGUGGCGCAGUGGUUGCGCAGUGGUUAACGAAUCUGACUGGGAACCAUGAGGUUGCAGGUUCAAUCCCUGGCCUUGCUCAGUGGGUUAACGAUCCGGCGUUGCCGUGAGCUGUGGUGUAGGUCGCAGACGCGGCUCGGAUCCUGCGCUGCUGUGGCUCUGGCGUAGGCCAGCGGCUAUAGCUGCGAUUCGACCCCUAGCCUGGGAACUUCCAUAUGCCGCAGGAGCGGCCCAAGAAAUGGCAAAAAAAAAAAAAAAAAAAAAAAAAGAAAAAGAAAUAUUGCUCACUUCUGUCAGGUGACAAAUGAAGAUGGAAACCAACUCUGGGUCCUAUCUUGGGCCCCAUGAUCCUAGCUCACAAGAGUCCUGGAGGGAGAAUUGCUAAACCUCCCCUGCUUUCUCCACAUCCUUCAGGUUAUCUGGGGCUGGCGCCCUGGGGAUGAGGGAAAAGAAAGCCACUGAGGUUAACACAUUGUAUUUCAGCUUCCCUGUCUAUUGGGACAGCUUUGGGGAGGCGUGUUGGGCAUGUGGAGAUGAGGCUGCCGUUUCUCUCCUGGGGCUGCUGGGGUAGGGUAGAGUCAUCCUUGGGGCCAGUGAGAGAAAUGCUUCAUCCAAUUUGUAUGCCCUCCUUUUACAGUUGGGAAGACACACUCAUUGAUCCGUAGAAUGUGGUCACCGAAGGAGGCAGAAAAAGCAAAAGGCUCAAUGUCCCCUGCCCCGUAUUCCAUCUGUUAGUAAUCCAGUUCUGCCAUUUUCCUUUUCAUGUUCUAAAUUUGGACCUUUUCGGGAGUACUUCCUCCCCAUUCAUGCUAAUUCAUGGAAUUCCAUCAGUUGGUUUUGAAAAGUGUAAGUCUGAACUAUUGCCAAAACAGCUUGCAGCAAGAGAAGAAAACAACUAUUGCCUAUUUCUCCAAGCUACAGAAAGUCUGGUAUUAUUAUAUGUUAUAAACUGGACAUGAAAAUAUUAUUUCUAACAGAAAAGUCUCAGACGCUGAAUAUACUCUUCCUGCUCAUCUAAGGCCUUUGCUGAAACAGGACUUUCUCCUUGUAGCCUUUCUUGACCACCUGAUUUAAAAUUAUUACCUCCCAUAGUCCCCUGAUAACAUAUUUUCUCUCUCUGCAAGUCUUCUCAUGGCAAUUAUCACCAUCUAACACAUAUUUUACUUAUUUUAGUCUGUAUUUAUUUUCACUAAAAUAAACUCAUGAGCUUCCAUAUUCCCAGUAUGUCUAGAAAAGUACCUGGCACACAGUAGCUACAUAGUAAAUUAUUAUUGAAUAAAUAAAUGAAAGUUAUAUUCUUUGAAAGCAGCUUUAAUCUCCCCAAA